AUUGAACGCUGGCGGCAGGCUUAACACAUGCAAGUCGAACGGUAGCAGGAGAAAGCUUGCUUUCUUGCUGACGAGUGGCGGACGGGUGAGUAAUGCUCGGGAAUCUGGCUUAUGGAGGGGGAUAACGACGGGAAACUGUCGCUAAUACCGCGUAUUAUCGGAAGAUGAAAGUGCGGGACUGAGAGGCCGCAUGCCAUAGGAUGAGCCCAAGUGGGAUUAGGUAGUUGGUGGGGUAAAUGCCUACCAAGCCUGCGAUCUCUAGCUGGUCUGAGAGGAUGACCGGCCACACUGGGACUGAGAUACGGCCCAGACUCCUACGGGAGGCAGCAGUGGGGAAUAUUGCACAAUGGGCGCAAGCCUGAUGCAGCGACGCCGCGUGGGGGAUGACGGCCUUCGGGUUGUAAACUCCUUUCAGCACAGACGAAGCGCAAGUGACGGUAUGUGCAGAAGAAGGACCGGCCAACUACGUGCCAGCAGCCGCGGUAAUACGUAGGGUCCGAGCGUUGUCCGGAAUUACUGGGCGUAAAGAGCUCGUAGGUGGUUUGUCGCGUUGUUCGUGAAAACUCACAGCUUAACUGUGGGCGUGCGGGCGAUACGGGCAGACUUGAGUACUGCAGGGGAGACUGGAAUUCCUGGUGUAGCGGUGGAAUGCGCAGAUAUCAGGAGGAACACCGGUGGCGAAGGCGGGUCUCUGGGCAGUAACUGACGCUGAGGAGCGAAAGCGUGGGGAGCGAACAGG
rnacentral:rRNA from 1 species